AUGCUCACUUCAGCAGCACAUAUACUAAAACUGGAAUGAUACAGAGAAGAUUAGCAUGGCCCCUGCACAAGGAUGACAUAGAAAUAUAGGAAGCAUUCCCAUAUUUU